rnacentral:ncRNA from 1 species
UCUAGCAUGCACCGGUGUUCGCAUUCAACAUACUGUACGGCCACCUUUGCCCGUGAGCGAUUGUAGCCGUGCAGUAUGCUGGAUGACGUUCUGAGAUGAUACGGUUGAACUUGAUCUGGAUAAUUCCAGCGAAAGGAUCAUGCUAUCCCACUCU